UUUGCACUUCUGGUUUGAUAAUCUUAGGUUUUUUGUCUGUCUUAUUAAAUAUUUACAAUAUUUAAAAGUAACAGUUAGAAGUGUCUGUUGUUUCAUGUUUAUUGUUUUGCACAGGGAAGAGCAUAUCAGAAAAUUUGGAGUGUUUCUUCUCUGUGGCUAGCUUGUAGCAUUUAUAAUCAGACUUAAAAAGAAAGAUGACACCACUCAAGGCUUCCUACUGAAGGAGCUGAAUACCCAGGAUCCUGUCAUAAACUGGAGAGAGUAUAUCUUCAUAUGAUCCAAGAACAAACUUUUAGAUAGUGGUUGCAUCACUUCAGGCUGAAAGAAUAUGGAAAGAAGGGUAGAAAAUGGAAAAUAUUUAGUGAGAAGUUUUGGCAGCAAAAUUUUGGUUCAUCCAGAAAACUUUAGUUUAAAGUAUUAGAAGUUGCUGAUAGUCAUUGUCUGUUUUGAUUUUUUUGAAAAUUUAGGAGAAAAGUGCCAGCUCUGGUAAGUCUGAUUAAAUAGUCUGAACUGAAGAUUGACUUAUCAUUUUAUCUCUCUAGGGAAUAAAUACUGUGAAUUCUUUAUCUAAAAGUAACUAAAAUCGACAGCUGUAUGUCCAUCACUGUCUCAAGAUUUAACUUCUGGUUGUUCCACCCUUCUGCUCUUUCAAAAAUUUUCACUUAUGAAAACUUUUGAUCAAGAGUAAAAAAAUGUAAGUGCAAGAAGCUGACUAUCAAAUUUAUGUGGAACUGACUACAUUUCCACUGUGCUUAAAGGAAAUUUUAAGUCAGUAAUUUAAUAUAGAAAUCCACAUAUUUCUUUAAAUGAGAAAAUGUUUAAUGUGUUUGCGCCUGUUCCUGACUCAUGAGGUUUGUAUAUGUAUUUAUUUACAGAAGCUUGAGGGGCCGAUAGAAUGUAGCAUGAGUAUUCAACUUCCUCCAUAGGAGAGGCAGUACACUUAGGUAUGUUUGCCAGGGGGCUCACCUUAAUGCAUCUGGGGAAAUCUGUUGAGCAUUAUCAGUGGACUAAUGUAAAGGGGAGCGAUCCUGCCAACUGGCAUACUAUCUGUAAGGGAGUUAGAGAAAAGUCAUUGUUCAGCCAUGCUGGAAGAAGGAUAGGAGACACUGGAUUUAAUUAGGCCACUACUUUAUCCUUAAAUAUCUUGGAAUACCCAGCAGAUAAAACAAUACAGUACAAGUAACUGCAUAAUCAUUUCAAUAUAUUCCCGAGGGGCUUCUGGCAGCCCUCCCCCUUACUCAUCGUGCUGCUGGGACUUCACCAUCCCCCCUCUUGAAUGAAGGUUUGGAGGGAGGGGAGUUUGGCUCCCUGCCAUACCAGUGGUAGGAGUCCUAAGCCCCCCUCCUCCCACCCUCUGGUUUCCACUCUUAAAGAAUACAUCCUUUAAAUCCUUUACCAAUCUAUUUUCUCUGAUUGGUGCUGCAUCCCUUCCCUACAGAAUACCUGCACUGGACAUCUGCCCCACAUUUACAUAAUGAGUUUCAACGUUAUAGCCUAACUCCCAUUUCAAGUUUGCUCCAACAAAGCCCCCAAACCUGCUGAAGGGAAGGCAAAAAAAACCCCAGAAACCCCACUUACCACCAUCUUGUGGUAAGGAAAAAAUUCCUCCCCAGUCCCCCGAGAAAAAAGCAGCUAGCACAGUGCUGCCCACAGCUGAUCCUUACAGAACACAGUAUUUCACUACAUUCAUGGGUUGAAGGAUUGGUGCUGCUCCACUUGGUCCAAGUAAAAGACUUUUCAUGCACCAGCAUGGACCUAUAUAAUCCCUCGCCCCUUUUCUGGUCACCUACAGUGGGGACCUGGUUUGAAGCUGCACCAGUCAUUUCCUGGCUCAAUAGCCCUUAAAGCAAGUGGUACACACUUUUUCCAACAAGCCAGAUUACAGCCCACACUGCGAUGAGGUCCAGUGAGAGAGUGUCUGUCUUCCCUACAUGGACCUGUUUGUUAACAGUUUCUGGCUGGACCACAGGAAAGUAGUUCAGGGCUAAUUUAUAUCAAAAACUUUCCUCUUGCUUUAUGCAUUCCCUUCCAUCCCAUUUGCUUCAGGGUUUCAUAAGAAAACAGUCCUGAAUAUGGCCAGAAUAAUCUGUGUUCCCAGAAUAUUUUGCAUAACAGUUCUAAAGCUCCAUCCUCCUAUUUCAUCUACUCUCCCAGGCUCCCUUCCUUAAGCACAAUCCAAUCUGCUCAUUCAGUCAACUUGUUUUGUGAACAGAGCAUCUUUCAGGAGCUAGAUCCACAUUUAGUUUUGUUCACACUUGAGGAAAAAAAGAGUACCUUCUCUGCCUAUUAUAGGGAAUCACUUCCAGUGUUUUAAGUCCUAUUCUAAAGGCUUUGGACAAAGAGCUCACCCCUGGGUUCCUCAGGGUGCCGGUUGCAGUUGUAGCUGCACUUAGGAUGUCAGAGUUUUCACGUAAAUUCUAAUCUUAGUUUCUCAUUUCCUAGCAGCUUCUUGCAUUUGACCACCUGUCAGAUCCCCAUGACCUAUUAUUUAGGGCUCCUCUCUUUUAUUUGGGAUGGUUUUCUUGAUUUUGAGGGUUUUCUUGAUUUUCAAGGUGGUUGAAGGAGUUUCCUUCACCAUCCUCAAGUUCAAUAUGUGGGGGAGAGCCAGUCAGAUCUAAUCCAUUUGCAAUGGUGAGAUUUAGGCUGGAAAGAGUGUAAUUUCUUACCUAGUAAUUCCAUUGAUACACAUGAGUUAAACCAUUGCAGGACCAUCCCUUCAGUUCUCUGAGAAAAUGUUGAUGCUCUUGUUCUGUAUGUAUGUUUAUAGUGCAGAUCAGUUACUUAAAUCUUUGAAAUAGCUCACAUACGGUAAGUAUGAGUGACAAUGGUGGCUGGAUGAUAUGAAAAUGCUAAAAUUCUGUUGCUUCCUUCCUGAUUUUUUUAAAGAAAUGGGACUCCUUCAUCUGACUGCAUUGGUAGAACCAGACUGCACAGAGGAAUUAAAAGAAAAGGGAUGACAAAAAUGUCAGAACAUUAAUCAUUCUCAGCAGAAGGAGCUCUGGGAUGCACUUCCAUGUAUACAUCGUAAUUAAAGAUGGAGUAAUUCAGAAGCCCUUAUUUAUCUGCCCCUGCCUAGAGACUCCAUGAAGAUAUGAAGCACUGAACUGCAUUUCUUGAUCAACAGAGAUACAAGUCAGAAAGACGGCACCGGAGAUUUGCUGAUAUACAGUUCUAUCACUUAAAUAACAGACUACUUUAUAUUUAUGUAGGGGGAAAGGGCCCAGCAGAUUGUCUUCAGUAAUUAUUCUGUAAUUUCCUUUGAAAUUUGACCUCAUGAAAGUGAUAGAUUAAUAUAAUUGCCUAGAGCCAGGAAUAUUAUGGAUAGACACUGAAGCUUCCCAAACAGCUCUCCCAGUUUAUAUUAAGAUGAAAAUAAUUUUGCUUUUCUCCUGCUUCCCCUGCAAAUCAGACAGGACUUGCCUUCAUUAGAAAAUUAGGUAUUGUUUGAAUACAUCAUUCAGAUUUUGUGUUAAAUGUGUCUUUCCAGUUUGUGAAGAUAGGGACUGUCAUAAAGGGAAGGGUAACCACCUUUCUGCUUACAGUGCUAUAAAAUCCCUCUUGGACAGAGGCAAAGUCCUUUUACCUGUAAAGGGUUAAGAAGUUCAGGUAACCUGGCUGGCACCUGACC